GGUGAGUAAUGCAUCGGAACGUGCCCAGUAGUGGGGGGAUAGUCCCGGCGAAAGCCGGAUUAAUACCGUCAUACGAUCUAAUGGGUGAAAGGGGGGGAUCGUCAAGACCUCUCGCUAUUGGUAGCGGCCGAUGUCAGAUUAGCUAGUUGUGGGGUAAAGGCCUACCAGGCGACGAUCUGUAGCUGGUCUGAGAGGACUACCAGCCACACUGGGACUGAGACACGGUCCAGACUCUAUACGGGAGGCAGCAGUUGGUGGAAUAUUGGACGAUGGGGGGCCACCCUUAGUCCAGCGAAACGCCGCGUAUGUUAGAAGGCCUGCGGGUUGUAAAGCACUUGUUAGUGGGGAUGAAACAAGCGACACUCUUGAUAACUGGUGUGUCUUGACCUAACCUAAAGAAGAAGGCACCGGUUAACUCUGUGCCAGAGCCGCGG
rnacentral:rRNA from 1 species